GCCUCCGUCCCGGUCGCCGCCGUUGCCGCCACCUCUGCCCAGGUCGUCCUUACCACUCAGGCGCAGGAAGGCUAGCGGCGCCGACUUCACCAUGUAUACAGGAGAAGUUGGUGGUGGUGACAUCCUGAAUAUAGUGUGAUUUGCUAAAGUGAAUCACGGAUUUCUUGACUCUAAAUUGCCAGUACACGCCUAAAUUGACAAGUUGAAGAAGCGGCCAUCGAG